rnacentral:rRNA from 1 species
AUUGAACGCUGGCGGCAGGCCUAACACAUGCAAGUCGAACGAGCGGCGGACGGGUGAGUAAUGUAUGGGGAUCUGCCCGAUAGAGGGGGAUAACUACUGGAAACGGUGGCUAAUACCGCAUACUAUCAGAUGUGCCCAUAUGGGAUUAGCUAGUUGGUGGGGUAAAGGCUCACCUGGGCGACGAUCUCUAGCUGGUCUGAGAGGAUGAUCAGCCACACUGGGACGGAGACACGGUCCAGACUCCUACGGGAGGCAGCAGUGGGGAAUAUUGCACAAUGGGCGCAAGCCUGAUGCAGCCAUGCCGCGUGUAUGAAGAAGGCCUGAGGGUUGUAAAGUACUUUCAGCGGGGAGGCGUUACCCGCAGAAGAAGCACCGGCUAACUCCGUGCCAGCAGCCGCGGUAAUAC